AUUGAACGCUGGCGGCAUGCCUUACACAUGCAAGUCGAACGGCAGCACGGGGGCGAACCCUGGUGGCGAGUGGCGAACGGGUGAGUAAUACAUCGGAACGUGCCCGGUAGUGGGGGAGUAGCUCGGCGAAAGCCGGAUUAAUACCGCAUACGACCUACGGGUGAAAGCGGGGGAGUCGCAAGACCUCGCGCCAUCGGAGCGGCCGAUGUCAGAUUAGGUUGUUGGUGGGGUAAAGGCCCACCAAGCCGACGAUCUGUAGCUGGUCUGAGAGGACGACCAGCCACACUGGGACUGAGACACGGCCCAGACUCCUACGGGAGGCAGCAGUGGGGAAUUUUGGACAAUGGGCGAAAGCCUGAUCCAGCCAUGCCGCGUGCGGGAAGAAGGCC
rnacentral:rRNA from 1 species